GCUUACGGCCAUACCAGCCUGGGUACGCCCGAUCUCGUCUGAUCUCGGAAGCUAAGCAGGGUCGUGCCUGGUUAGUACUUGGAUGGGAGACCGCCUGGGAAUACCAGGUGCUGUAAUCA
rnacentral:rRNA from 1 species